AGAGUUGAUCAUGGCUCAGGAUGAACGCUAGCGGCAGGCUUAACACAUGCAAGUCGAGGGGCAGCGCGAAGUAGCAAUACUUGGCGGCGACCGGCGGAAGGGUGCGUAACGCGUGAGCAACAUGCCCGUAUGAGGGGGAUAGUCAUUGGAAACGAUGCGUAAUACCCCGUAACAACAGUUUUCGCAUGGAGAUUGUUUGAAAGAUUUAUCGCAUACGGAUUGGCUCGCGUGACAUUAGCUAGUUGGCGGGGUAACGGCCCACCAAGGCGACGAUGUCUAGGGGAACUGAGAGGUUGGUCCCCCACACUGGAACUGAGACACGGUCCAGACUCCUACGGGAGGCAGCAGUGAGGAAUAUUGGUCAAUGGGCGGAAGCCUGAACCAGCCAUGCCGCGUGAAGGAAUAAGGCCCUAUGGGUCGUAAACUUCUUUUGACGGGGAGCAAUAAGGGCGUCGUGACGUCCGAUGAGAGUACUCGUCGAAUAAGCAUCGGCUAACUCCGUGCCAGCCGCGGC
rnacentral:rRNA from 1 species